AUGAAUGAAUGUUAUCUAAUACUGUUGUAAGUCUCUCAGAAAACUGCUCCUGGUUUAAAGUCAUUGACAGGUCAGUGAUACACAAGGUACAAGAUGACGUCUAAAUCCUGCACACUGUCAGCACUGAGUUUUUUAAAGAUUCACAAAAUGAAACCACGACUUUAUGCUGGAGCCAAAAGCUGCAACAACUAACAAGAAGAGAAGCCAAACACCUUAACAUGAACAUGAGUUCAGCUUGUGUUUUGUGUCUCAGCUUCAACCUCAGACAGUUUGCUGCUGACAGUGGAGGCUCGUUAGUUGGUCUGGUUCAGCUGGGCUCUCCACACAGUCAGCAGAGAGGCAGGUGACAGCCACACAGUCUGAGAGUCUCCACAGACAUUAUUUUUGCGUUUGAAUCCUGGAAGAGCAGCAGCCUUCGUCCUCAUUAAAGGACACUAGUUGCUGACUGACGGCUGCGAACAAGGUUGAGAUUGAACGACAGCUCGAUACAUGUUUGUACACCUGUAAGUAGCAUGUUUUCUUUUUUCUUUUUACAAUAGAGACAUUCGAUGCUGAGGUUAACAAAGACAGAUAUGGUGAACAGAAAAAAAACAAACAAACGUGUGAACACAUCCGUAGCUGAUGGCUCUGAGUUCCAGUCGCAGCUGAUUUUUCUCUUGAGCCCAAACUGACUGACAGCAUGCUUCAAAUACAGCUGACAAAACAUGAAGAAAAUAAGGC